rnacentral:lncRNA from 1 species
CCUGCAUUGCCAGGAGGAUUCUUUAACACUGAGCCAUCUGUGAAGUGUAGUCAUUUUCUUUGUUUGUUUAUUUGUUUUGUUUUGGGUUUGUUGUUGUUGUUGUUAACAAAGAGCUUUAUUUUCAUGUUCUGGUUUCUUCAUGUCCUAGGUUCUGCUAACAACCUUGAUUCUUGCACUGUUGAGCAUGUCAACAGCCAAAGAUACAUCACUUUGAGGAGGAAACAAGCAGGAAGGUGGCCAGCUCCCUGUCCCCCCACCUUCUCCUGGUAUCUCCAUCCCACAGGAAGGGUCCAGGUCAGACUCUUGGCUUUGGCGGAAGUCAGAGGAAGAAGUCAUCGCACACACACAGGGCCAGGCUUCUCCUGAGUACCCAUCGUUCCCUCUCUUCUUCACCAUCUUUUGGCCAUGGCUGCCCAGAUCAGGGAUGAGAAGAGGGCCAUUUGCUAAAUGUGAUCCCUAGGUUGAGCUUUGACUGACAGGGAGCAGGGUCUCAGGCUCCAGCUUGACUGGGCGGGGGUGCUGACUGGCCUGGAUUGUCAUAACUGAUGAGCAGUCUGUCCUCUGAAAGGGCAGGAGGAAAGGAAGGGACAGGAUGUAGCAUGGGAAUGGUCAUGUCCUGUGGUGGUCCUGAGGAAACUGCAAGAAGUCUGAUGAGUCAUUAAGUCAUUUCACAAGUAAGGUCAUGUACCGAGGUGUACACGCAGAAACAGAUCCAGUGUGUAGCCUGGGCAGACAUCCCAGUAGCAGUUGAGGGCUUGUGAAGUUGUCUACCCGAAGUCAUUGGCAGGGGCUCUGCUCCAGACCAGAGACUCCCAUCCCCACGGAGAAGGCUUGGAACAUCACCCUAAAUAGCUCUUCAUCCCUCCCUCAACAGAGCCCUGGACUGGGGUUGAUUUUCAAAUUUCACAACUUGGGAACUUAAUAAUCACCUUUAAAGAAAGUAUAUCAAGGCUAGGGAAACUUUGGUCAAUUUGUGUAAUUAUUCAUCGGUUAUGCUUCUGUGUGGCUCAGAUGGUAAAAAAUCUGCUUGCCAGUGAGGGAGACCCAGGUUCAAUCCCUGGAUCAGGAAGAUCCCCUGGAGAAAGGAAUGGCAACCCACUCCAGUAUUCUCUGGAGAAUCCAUGGACAGAGGUGCCUCGUGGACUACAUACAGUCCAUGGGGUCACAAAGAGUCAGACACAACUGAGUAACUAGUUUAACUAACACUGCAUCUAAUCUCAGUGUCUCUGUAGUUGGAAUUGUUCAACCAAGGAAAAACCUAGCCUCAGGUGUCUCUGUUAAGUAGAAUAAGGUUGUCUAAUUGUCCACGAUUUUUCCAUGGCUGUAAAAUGUUUUCUGGACCCUCUCUGUCCCCCAUGCUUCCUCUUAGGAUUAACUAGUGUCAACAUCAUCUUACUCCUGAUUUGUCAUUUGCCACUUUUUUCUGUCCCCAAUACUCAGAAUCAUUGUGGGUGUUGGAGAGAUCCUGCCCUCUCAAAUCACCACUCACUGGCUUCCCUUGUGGUUCAACUUGUAAAGAAUCUGCCUGCCAUGUGGGAGACCUAAGUUCAAUACUUGGGUUGGGAAGAUUCCCUGGAGAAGGGAAAGGCUACCCACUCCAGUGUUCUGGCCUGGGGAAUUCCAUGAGGUCACAAAGAGUCGGACACGACUGAGUGACUUUCACUUCCACUUCCCUUAAUGGUCCCGGUGUAGAUGCAGAAAGCAAGAACAGUGCCCUCUGUAAGCCUCUGCCUGAAGAAUUUUAUAUCAGGGUGUGUUGACUGUGUUAAUCACUCAGUUGUGUCUGACUGAGAAGGCAGAUUGUUAACCAUCUGAGCCAUCAGAGAAGCUCUUGUUUUUUUGUGUUUUUUUUUUUGUAUCAACUUCCUCUUUAUUUACUCAGAGUAGUAAUUUAAUAAAAGUUGUAACCAUCAUCCA